rnacentral:rRNA from 1 species
UACGUAGGUGGCAAGCGUUGUCCGGCUUUACUGGGCGUAAAGAGCGCGCAGGCGGCUGGGCAGGUCCGAUGUGAAAGCUUCCGGCUUAACUGGAAAAUUGCAUCGGAAACUGCUCGGCUUGAAGGUGGGAGAGGCGCGUGGAAUUGCAGGUGUAGCGGUGAAAUGCGUAGAUAUCUGCAGGAACACCCGUGGCGAAAGCGGCGCGCUGGACCACUACUGACGCUGAGGAACGAAAGCUAGGGGAGCAAACAGG